rnacentral:tRNA from 1 species
GGUCCCGUCGUUCAACCGGUUAGGACAGCGGCCUUUCACGCCGUAAACACGGGUUCGAAUCCCGUCGGGAUCA